AUCCAACUGACGAGUCCCAACUAAGACGACACGCGCGUCCUGGAU
rfam:Schistosoma margrebowiei strain Zambia genome assembly, scaffold: SMRZ_contig0000431